GGAUUUGUUCGGAUUUUCCGGAUUUGUUCGGAUUUUUUCUGGAUUUUUGAAAAUCUGUUGGAUUUUCCGGAUUUGUUUGGAUUUUCCGGAUUUUUUCUGGAUUUUUUUUAAUUAUAGAGUUAUAGAGCUAGGUAACGUUUUGAACAAAUAAUCUUAAGUUGUACGAUGUCAACGUUAUGCCAGGACGUCAGGGUCGAGCAGAGGACUGGGACUAGGACCACAGCCUUCUGAAACUAUUAACGAAGGCUGUGCAUGCAGUCAAUUUGUAUAAAAUUCAAACAAGUUCAUUAUUCUUUCAAAAGCAGUAAAAGACAAUGGUGAAUAACUUUUGGUUUUGUAAUUAUAUUUUACAACAUAACGUCAUUGUAACAAGAACACAUAUUUAGUAGUAAUAGGCUAAAAAAACUUAGCGUAUACUCGAGCGUAUAAAUGGAAAUGUAGAGUGGUCCAAUAAUUACGAAAUAUAAUGACAGCGAUCACGGUAAGCAUUUAGCUUUCGCUGUCCGCCAUUUUGAACGUGGCAAAGAACCUUUACGAGUAAAUUACACCAAGUACUUCAUAUAUUUUUUUGUGGAUUUGCGGAUUUUUUAAGGAUUUUGAAGGAUUUCUGUGGAUUUUUGAAGGAUUUCUGUGGUUUUUAAAGGAUUUUUUGGAUUUUGAUGGAUUCAAUGGAUUUUGAGGAUUUCAUGGAUUUUUUCUGGAUUUUUUCCGGAUUUUUUGACGAAGUGUACGGGAUUUUUGGAGUGAAUUGCCCCUCG